GUCUUGUUCAAUGAAAAACCAGAAAAAAAGGAGACUAGGAGGGAUAUGACUCCAUAAUAGUAUGUAAAUGCAGUAGGGAGGAAGAAACACUAUUUAAAAUUAGGGGGAAUACUGAAGAAGAAUAAACUGGUGCAAAGUAGUUACUGAUAGUGUUAGGUUAAUUUAGUAUUAAAGCACGUAGCAGAUCUGCAUGGUUUGUAUUAUGUUCUAUUUUAAUAGUAAUUGUAAAUAUAAUAAUAAUAUAGUAAUAGUAAAAAAACCACAAAAAUAGAAACAGUUAUUGUUAUUAGAAGUAAAUCAACUCUUUGAAAUAUGCUGGAAGCAUAUUUUUUGAAGCUAAAAUUUGCUAAUAGACAUACUUUAUGUAAUGAAGGAGUAGAAAUAUAAUGUUCCUGAUUAAUCUGCCUGAUUAAUCCUGAUUAAUCUGAUUAAUCUAAACAUAGGUAUUUGUACCAGAUUUUUAUGGUAUUAAUCUCAGGAGAUCAAAAUUCAUGAAUCACAUAUCAGAAAACAGUAAAUUUAAUCCUCCAAAUAAUUAGGACUUUCUUUUUCUCUAAGAUUCUGUUUUGGUAUGCCUUGACUUCUGUAUUUUGUUCUUUUUCUCUGUUUCUGUAAUCUGCUGUUGUUUCAGCGCUCUCUCAUACUUCCUCAUCAGAAUCUGUAUUCACCCAUUUAAUUAGGCCUUUAACAUAUUGCUUACAAAAUUUGUGUCCAACAAAUACAAAUUAUCUUCUUUGUAUAGCAAGCUUUUCUAGUUCUCUUUAAAUAUGUGUAUGAACUGCAACAUGCAAGAGUAAUUUCCACAGGGAAACUUAACGAUGUAGACUUAAAAAAAAAAAAAAAAAAAAAUCACCUAAGAACCUAGAUUUGAUUUGCUUGAGCAAUUCCUCAUGCAGGUUUAUAAUUUAAAUUAAGUUGUUGGAAGGCAGCCGUAUGCCUUGCUCAAAAGAAGGAAAACUUGUUUUUCUGGUAGGUGUGGAUGCUGUUACUGACAUUAAGGCACACCAAGCAUUUGAAAUAAAAUGUGUUGGCAAGUACCUUAGAAUUGAGCAAUUGGAAGAUAUACCAUACCAAAAAGUAACCUUCUGGAGAACCAGUUGGAGAACUAAACAAAACUUCACUCCUCUGUCUGCUUUUAAAAGGUAUGUUUGCUUUCAGCUGCUCCCUGUUCAAAAUGCAGUUGAAAAAAUUGUUUUUCAUUAUUUAUAGCCAACAAAAGCAGAAGAAACAACAAAAUAACAGGUAAUAAAUUAAUUACAUUUUUUAAUGUUGAUAUGUUG
rnacentral:lncRNA from 1 species